GGGAAUGUGGCUCAUUGGUAGAGUGCUUGCCUAGCAUGCAUGAAGCCCUGGGUUCAAUUCCUCAGUACCA
rnacentral:tRNA from 1 species